UACACGAGCGGCGAACGGGUGAGUAACACGUGAGCAACCUGCCCCUGACUCCGGGAUAAGCGGUGGAAACGCCGUCUAAUACCGGAUACGACCCUCCGCCUCAUGGUGGUGGGUGGAAAGUUUUUCGGUCGGGGAUGGGCUCGCGGCCUAUCAGCUUGUUGGUGGGGUAACGGCCUACCAAGGCGAUUACGGGUAGCCGGCCUGAGAGGGCGACCGGCCACACUGGGACUGAGACACGGCCCAGACUCCUGCGGGAGGCAGCAGUGGGGAAUAUUGCGCAAUGGGCGAAAGCCUGACGCAGCGACGCCGCGUGGGGGAUGACGGCCUUCGGGUUGUAAACCUCUUUUACCACUCACGCAGGCUCCACGUUUUCGUGGGGUUGACGGUAGGUGGGGAAUAAGGACCGGCUAACUACGUGCCAGCAGCCGCGGUAAUACGUAGGGUCCGAGCGUUGUCCGGAAUUAUUGGGCGUAAAGAGCUCGUAGGCGGCGUGUCGCGUCUGCUGUGAAAGACCGGGGCUUAACCCCGGUUCUGCAGUGGAUACGGGCAUGCUAGAGGUAGGUAGGGGAGACUGGAAUUCCUGGUGUAGCGGUGAAAUGCGCAGAUAUCAGGAGGAACACCGGUGGCGAAGGCGGGUCUCUGGGCCUUACCUGACGCUGAGGAGCGAAAGCAUGGGGAGCGAACAGGAUUAGAUACCCUGGUAGUCCAUGCCGUAAACGUUGGG
rnacentral:rRNA from 1 species